UCUGGAACUUCUGUCUAUACAAAGCCGACUCAUACUGGUCAAUACUCCCACAUAUCAAUCAAGCUUCACACCCUGGUCAAGAAAAAUUGCUUGGAUCCGUGCUCUCGUAAAUCGCGCCUACAAAAUCUGCAGUAAUGCCACUCUCCUGAACAACGAGUUAAAACAAAUCCAAAAUUUCAUAUCUUGGAAUGGUUUCCCUCGCAAAUUAACCUCAAAACUUAGUAACCAAUUUAUACCGUCCCCACUGUAUCCAAUGACAACGACAACGAAGCCACAAUGACUGAAACAAACAAAGCUCCUAAUAUCUGGUUACAGCUACGAUAUCUUGGCAAAUUUGGUGAAAGACUAACUCGUUCGCUGAUACACAAAAUAACUCCUCUACUCACAUUAAAAUCCCGAUUCAUUAUUAACUGGAAGACCAUUAACAGCAACGUAUUUGUAUCAUGCAAAGAUAAAACCCCGAAAACUUAUCAAAGCUCCGUUGUCUAUGAAUUUACUUACCCUGGAUGUAAUAGUAGGUACAUCGGCAAAACUGACCGCUGCUUAUACACCAGAACUAAGGAACAUUCAUAUCACACUGAAUCUGUAAUCCAUCAACACCUCUCUACUUGUGAACAGUUUCAACAUAUUAAAGCCCUUUUAGAACUAUAUCCCGACGAUGACGCAAAGUCUAAUCAAACCAG